rnacentral:rRNA from 1 species
UACGUAGGGUGCGAGCGUUGUCCGGAAUUAUUGGGCGUAAAGAGCUCGUAGGCGGCCUGUCGCGUCCGCUGUGAAAUCCCGGGGCUUAACCCCGGGCGUGCAGUGGAUACGGGCUGGCUGGAGGCAGGCAGGGGAGAACGGAAUUCCCGGUGUAGCGGUGAAAUGCGCAGAUAUCGGGAGGAACACCUAUGGCGAAGGCAGCUCGCUGGGACGUUACUGACGCUGAGACGCGAAAGCGUGGGGAGCAAACAGG